rnacentral:rRNA from 1 species
UACGAAGGGGGCAAGCGUUGUUCGGAAUUACUGGGCGUAAAGGGCGCGUAGGCGGCUUAUCAAGUCAGGCGUGAAACUUCCCGGGCUCAACCUGGGGCUGCGCUUGAUACUGAUUGGCUUGAAUGGCGGGAGAGGAUAGUGGAAUUCCCAGUGUAGAGGUGAAAUUCGUAGAUAUUGGGAAGAACACCGGUGGCGAAGGCGGCUAUCUGGCCCGUAAUUGGACGCUGAGGCGCGAAAGCGUGGGGAGCAACAGG